rnacentral:rRNA from 1 species
CCUACGGGGGGCUGCAGCAAGGAAUCUUCCGCAAUGGGCGAAAGCCUGACGGAGCAACGCCGCGUGUGGGAUGACGCCUUUCGGGGUGUAACCCACUUUUCUCAGGGAAGAAGCACUGACGGUACCUGAGUAAGAAGGACCGGCUAACUACGUGCCAGCAGCCGCGGUAAUACGUAGGGUCCGAGCGUUGUCCGGAGUUACUGGGCGUAAAGCGCGCGCAGGCGGCGGUGUAAGCAUGGCGUGAAAGCCCCUGGCUUAACCAGGGUGGUGCGUCGUGGACUGAACUGCUUGAGGGCGGGAGGGGCUGGUGGAAUGCCUGGUGUAGUGGUGAAAUGCGUAGAGAUCAGGCGGAACACCCGUGGCGAAGGCGGCCAGCUGGGCCGUCCCUGACGCUGAGGCGCGAAGGCGUGGGGAGCGAACGGGAUUAGAUACCCUAGUAGUC